UACGUAGGGGGCUAGCGUUGUCCGGAAUCAUUGGGCGUAAAGAGCGUGUAGGCGGCCCGGUAAGUCCGCUGUAAAAGUCAAAGGCUCAACCUUUGAAUGUCAGUGGAUACUGCCGGGCUAGAGUCCGGAAGAGGCGAGUGGAACUCCUGGUGUAGCGGUGGAAUGCGCAGAUAUCAGGAAGAACCCCAACGGCGAAGGCAGCUCGCUGGGACGGUACUGACGCUGAGACGCGAAAGCGUGGGGAGCGAACAGG
rnacentral:rRNA from 1 species